rnacentral:RNase_P_RNA from 1 species
AAGGUGAGACGUUCUAUCGCUCCGAAAGGGGAGGAAAGUCCGGACAGUACAGAGCACCUUCCUGUGGAAAGCACAGAUGGGCGUAAGUUUAUGGACGGCGUAACAGAGAACAACCGCCGGUUGCGGAUCCGUUCCGUGGCAGGCAAGGGUGAAAACGUGAGGCAAGAGCUCACGACUGCGUAUGGCGACAUGCGUGGGGUACGCACCGAAGGACUGCAAGGCCAAAUAUAUCGGUAAUCAAGGGUUGCUCGCCCGCUGCCGAGGGGUAGGCUGCAUCAGAGAAAUGAUAGAAGCCCGCAAGGGUACAGAAUUCGGCUUACAGGCUCACCUUUUUU